UACUAGAGUAGCACUCGCAUAUCAAUAAGCGGAGGAAAAGAAACUAACAAGGAUUCCCCUAGUAACGGCGAGUGAAGCGGGAAGAGCUCAAAUUUGAAAUCUUAAAGGGUUUCCCUUUACGAAUUGUAGUUUAAAGAAGUGUUUUCUGUUGAGGUUUUGGUAAAAGUUCUUUGGAAUAGGACAUCAUAGAGGGUGAGAAUCCCGUAUUUGACCUUUACUUUCAACUUUGUGAUACACUUUCAAAGAGUCGGAUUGUUUGGGAAUGCAGUCCAAAAUGGGUGGUAAAUUUCAUCUAAAGCUAAAUAUUGGCGAGAGGCCGAUAGCGAACAAGUACCGUGAGGGAAAGAUGAAAAGAACUUUGAAAAGAGAGUUAAACAGUACGUGAAAUUGUCAAAAGGGAAGCGUUUGACACCAGUGUCGUUUUUCUGAAAAUCAAUUAAAGAACUGUUUAUGCUAAGUUGUUUAGACUUUAUCAGCUAACUGUUUAGUUUUGAGCUUUUCUUUAAUGCACUUUUCAGUUAACAAGUCAACAUCAAUUUCUUUUGCUGUAAAAAAGCCUGAGGAAGGUGGCUUGAGAUUCGUCUUAAGUGUUUAUAGCCUCUUGCCUAUGCAGUCGGAGAGAUUGAGGUCUGCAGCGUAGAUCCUUCGGGGCUAAAUGCAUUUGUGCUAAGUUAUAGCAUUUUAUAGACAACUUGUUGACUAUGAUUUGUCUUGUAGCUUACUCGCUUAUGUUAUUUUACCUACGCUUAGGAUGUUGAGCGCAUGUCUCUCUCU
rnacentral:rRNA from 1 species